rnacentral:snoRNA from 1 species
AUGAUACAAUGAUGAAAAAUCUUGUUUUAUUUUUACAGUUAUCCCUGUCAGAGUAAAAACAAUUCCUGUUGAGAAAUUUACUUCUGAGUAUCAU